GUCCCCGUAGCUCAAUGGACAGAGCUCAGGUUUCCUAAACCUGCGAUGAAGGUUCGAUUCCUUCCGGGGAUA
rnacentral:tRNA from 1 species